UCGCUUUAGUAUGUCGAGACUCCGAGAGUGGACAAGCCGGACAGCUCACAUGGACGAGGCUGCCUCAGGGAUUCAAGAACUCGCCCACUUUGUUCGAUGAAGCCCUACACCGAGAUCUUGCUCUUUUCUGAGCCAAUAACCCACAGGUGACUCUUCUGCAAUAUGUAGAUGACCUGCUCCUAGCUGCAGAAACACGCGAGGACUGUAAAAUUGGGACCCAAAACCUCCUGGGCGAGUUAGAUGGACAACGGUGGCUCACAGAAGCCAGAAAACAAGCUGUUAUGAAGAUCCCGGCCCCAACCACUGCUCGCCAGGCUGACGAGGCCCCUGCACAUAAGUGUGAAGAAAUACUGGCAGAAGAGACUGGAAUCCGGCCAGACCUCACAGACCAACCUUGGCCAGGGGCGAUGACUUGGUUCACGGACGGAAGCAGCUUUGUGGUAGAAGGUAAGCGGAGGGCUGGGGCAGCA